rnacentral:lncRNA from 1 species
GUGCCACCAAACUAUAAUGAGGGAGGAGAUGAAUGGAGUGUCAAAGUAAUCCCAAAGAGUGGAGCAAGCUGCAUGUCGUUACGCCAGUGUAGUGGUCGAAAUAAUCCUCCAUUGUGAAGGAAUGAGACCAUACGAUAUAUCUUCCAAAUGAUUCGUCUUGAUCUCAUGCGGAUACCCCUAUGCUUUGCAUCAUUUCUCUCUAUCCAUAGGAACCAGAAAAUUAGUAGAAGGAUAAUGAUGCAAAUGUGUCCACUCCAAGUAAGCUGUCCAGAGUAACGCCAUCGCAGAAAUCUUUGUCUGACGCUCUCGCCUACAAUUAUAGUAAUCUGAAAUAAGCAUCCAAAGUGCUGCUAAACCCGAUCUGAUAUAUGCUACCAGUAAAAAUAUGCGUAAUUGUCUCAAUCUCUAAACAACACUGACAUUGAGAAGCCAGCUGACUACCAACCCUCCUCUAAAUAAUAGUAUCCACAGGAAAUCCUGCCACAAUUUUCAACAGAGGAAUGAGACUUUGGUAGGUAUGGUAGGGUUCCAAAGGAGACGAAAUGAAUCCUGUGAUGGUUUGCUAGGACGAAUUAAUUGCCAUGCUGACUUAGUGGUAAAUCUACCAUCUGAUGUAGCCUUCCAAAAAAUACGACCUGGGACAUUGAUACAUAAUGGCAUGUCUGCAAUCUGUUCUUCCAUAAUUGGUGGAACAGCCUAUAUUAAUCGUCCAAAGUUCCAUCCAGUCCCCUCAAAAAAUUUCUGCACCCUCUCAGAUGCGUGUUGCCCAUGUGGGAGGAUAGACGCCAAAGAAUUAUCUCCCAUCCAAUAAUCAUGCUAAAAGAAAAUCUGACCACCCCCAAGUUGCCAC